GUGGGGAAUAUUGCGCAAUGGGGGAAACCCUGACGCAGCAACGCCGCGUGAGUGAGGAAGGACUUCGGUCUGUAAAGCUCUGUUAAUGUGGAAAAAUGGUAGUUGGUCUAAUAGGCCGAUUAUUUGAUGGUACACAUAGAGGAAGCACCGGCUAACUUCGUGCCAGCAGCCGCGGUAAUACGAAGGGUGCAAGCGUUGUUCGGAUUUAUUGGGCGUAAAGCGCGCGUAGGCGGACCUGCAAGUCAGAUGUGAAAUCUCGGGGCUCAACCCCGAAACUGCGUCUGAAACUACAGGUCUAGAAUCUUGGAGGGGGAAGGGGAAUAUCGCAUGUAGGGGUAAAAUCCGUAGAUAUGCGAUGGAACACCAGAGGCGAAGGCGCCUUCCUGGACAAGUAUUGACGCUGAGGCGCGAAAGCGUGGGGAUCAAACAGGAUUAGAAACCCGGGUAGUCC
rnacentral:rRNA from 1 species